rnacentral:lncRNA from 1 species
UUAAUUGAAGUUUAAUCUUCUAUACAUCAUCUAGGUUAGACUUUUAUAUGUGACAUUGUGAAUUAUGAUAUAGGUAUUGUGAUGCAUGUUUAGAGGCUGCUUUCAUGCUAAGAUUCUAUUGUGUUCAAUUUGCAGUGGAACAACAUAAUCCCUGUGCCAAACAGUAUGUUUGAAUGCAAGAGAAGAGAUGUAAUGAUUCUGCAUUCCAGUAGUGGGGCCAAUAUUAUUCAAGGUGAAUCAGUGGGCACAUCUACAAUCUUUCUUACACAACAGAUGUUUGACAGGUAUGCACUGACGCAUUAGCUUUAUUUUAUUCCCGAAGAUAAUGCUAUGAUAAUUGGGAGCACCACCACCCAAAUAAAAGGUGUAAGGCCGAAAGCUCUUGGACUAGAACAUUUCCUUGUCACUACUUUAAUUGCCCUGUGGCAGCCACACAGUCUCACCAUCUUGCAUGAUCACUCUUGCAAUUCCCAUAUGUGAUAUUUAUCAUGCCCUUGUUUGGGAGACAUCUGAUGUUAGAUAUCAUGCAUCCACAUCUUCAGUAGAAAAUAGUUGAAGGUUGAAAGAAAAUUGUGCUGUUCGUACUACCCCUCUCAUCUCCUUCUUAAAGGCCUUAUCAUGUGGAGUGUGGCAGCAAAGUUUGAGGUUACAUACAUUGAUGAAACACACACUUUGAGGAAGACAAAGUGGUUUUGUUGAAACACUUUGUACUCUUUACAAAACAAUAUUUUGGGCCAUUCCUACUUGUAGGUUUUCUGAUAUAAACCUUUUUCAUGAAAAAAGCUUAAUUCCUGUUAGUUAUAAUGGAUUUGUGCUGGCUUUGACAUUAUAAUAUAAUCCAUAUUGAAGUAUUAUUUGUGUUUGCAGUAAUUAGUGAUUUUGAGUAGAAUCCAUGAAAUUUAGUUGGUGGUUCCCAACUAAAAAUACCAAGUACUGAAGUAACACAUGUUUCCUUAUCAACAGCAGACUGUUCAGUAGAUUAGUCUAUUACUUGCACGAAAACACCUAAGUUCCGAGGCCUUGGUUUCAGUAACUGGUGUGUCAGCUCUCCAUCCAAAUCUGCCCCGUAAUCUGAAGAUUACAUAGAUUUCCAUAUAUGUCAUCAGCAUAAUGUUUUGUUCAUAUCACCUUCAUCGAUUGAUAUCCAUUACCUGAAGAACUGUCUGCUGAUGAAUAAUAAUCUACCUUGAUGGGAGAGUGAUUCUUAGAAUAAAAACAUACAUCAGAACAAGCUUUUUAUAUAGAUAACAGAGAACUUCCCACAUUUCUGUAGUUGUUACAGUAGAUACCAUGGAUUAACAGAGAUCGACUGAUCUUUGUCGCAGGGACUAAGGACUCGCAUGCACGAUUUCACUACAAUUUACAGAGAAAGACCAUGCUGCGUCAACAAUUAGAGAGCAAGAGGUCAGUCAUGGGAUACAAGUCUUCGUCCUCCAUCCUCCACAGCGACGCAGAACAGUCUUCCCAUAUGGGGGAACUCACCGGAGGGCAUUCCAUGUUGCAAGCCGAUCCGCCCUUGUAUUCGUCAAAGCUCAGCUGGCUGACGGAUUCCGAUGCGGCGAUCUCAUUCCAGAUCUGAUCCAUGGUGUACCCCUUCCCUUCGUUAUCGUUCACUUCAAGCCCUGAGAUCAACGAGGUUCCCUCUGCAGUGCUGCAACCUUCAUGCUUUUCCGCCCUGAGCUCCGAGAUGUUACUAGAGGACGAGGAAGACGGCGAGGGAGCCGAG